GCGGAAGCUACUGCCUGCGCUUAGAUAAACAAGCAACGCCGCCUCCCAGCAACACCUGGUUCCGCACGCGCCUUAGAACUGGAGGGCCUUCUUACUGAACAUGCGCAGCUCCUGCCUGUGACAAGAGCGGGUCCAGCUGGUACUCCCACGCCCAGAUCCAGGCGGAGAGGAAAGGGUGGAGGGGCCAGAGCAACUCCAGGCUGUACCUGAGGCGGGAAGUGAGAGGAGACGCGCAAGACCCAAGAGGAGCCUUUGGCGUGAGGGCCUUUGCCCGACACCACCCAGUCUGUCAGCUUCCUCGAGAGCUUGGGUUUUAACUCGUGUAAACAUAACGAGAAGACUUAAAGGGUCGAGCACUCCAGAUUCUGCCUGAGGGUGUGUACACACAUGAAGUGAAACUGUAUGUAUAACAUCAGGACAGUGAGAGAGGGAUGACAGGCCCCUUCAGCCGAGAGCCCGAGGGGUUAGUCAGCGACGACACCUCAGAAGCCGUGCCCCUCCGGAUGACGUCAACAGGAAUACCGCCCACUUCCCCCUAGCCCCGCCCCUUUUUGGAGGCUGCCUGAAGUCGAGCUCUUCCCACGCCCGGUCAGCUACUGGCGCAUGGAAAACCUGGACAGCGGAACCGCCAACAGCAUAGCAACAGCCAGCUGGGAGUAUGUAUUAGGAAGUUGGGACUCACUGUAGCCAACCCGAUCACGCCUUUGGACCCCAUGGUGUUACUCUCGGCCAAUGGAGAGCCGCCUCAUGCCACGUGAUGCAUGCAUCUCUUUCAACCAAUGAGGAGAAAGUCUAGCUGCGGGCUCAGCCAACCCACCUCCCCGUGCCUCGCCUUGCUGGCGUUGGCUCCGCGUAGUCGCUGCCAACCAAUCGAAGGCGAGCUGAUGAAUGACGAAGGCUUAGGAUGAACCAAUCAGCGCUCGCGAUUCCCUUGCCUCCGAAGGUGGCUGACUUCUCCAACUCCAGACUGAAAUUGAUGAGUCAAAGAAAACUCAGGAAAUUGCAACUAUGUCAUUCCUUGACUUUCCAGAUCCCUAUAGGGAAGCCUCAUCAGUCCCUGUCAGAGCGCAGCCCUACUCAACCUGCUCAGCACUGUCACCGAGCCUCAGAGAACUAGCCAACCAAACCUUUAUGGGAAAACAGAAAUGGGAAAAGCCUCCAUGCAUAUGUACCCAUCCAAGCUCAGUGCUUAGGCUCCUGCUCUCAGCAUCACCACCGACUUUCGGAGAUGGUCCUUAUAUGGUAAUUGCUUAGACUAAUUAUUUUCAUCUUGGUUUAUUGCCUUCCCCCUCACUGUGCCAGAACUAUGAGAACAGGGACUGUUGCUUUCAUUGUUGUCUCAGAACCUUGCACGUACAUGGACAUGACACAUGAUGGGUUCAUGCUGUUCUUUUGUUGACAAAAUAUGAAGAUACGCUGUCAUUGAAUAAAUAAUGAGCUUUUUUUUAAGGACUGGCAUCUCAGGAUAGACCCUGCUUCUAACAUUUGCACUCAGUUAUCUGCCUUAUGAAAACAGAGCUCUGAAAGGGAACCAUGGCAACUAUAAAUAGUUUUUCAUGUACAAAUUAGCAUUCUAUACUGUAAGAUUUAAUAAAACAAAAACCUAGGUACAAUUAGAUAUCUUAAUCCCCUCUUCUCUGGGGAAAUGCCCAUUCAGCUCUCUUGUUCAUUUUAUAAAAAUGUGGUAAAAUAGACAUAGCAUUUUAAAAUGAUUAGAAUUUAAAUUUAGAAUGAUUAAAAUGUUAAAUUUUAAGUGUACACUGUGAUGGCAUUAAUGACAUUUAUAUUGUUGUGGAGUUAUACCACUCUCUCCCCAGAAUUUGUCAUUCCAAACUGAAACUCUGGACCCAUUAAGUAAUAGCUCCCAAUUCUCCUUUCUGCCCAUCCUUAAUCUCUUCUUUCCUUCAUUCUUCUUUCCUUUCCUUCUUCCUAGCUUUUCUUUUAUCGUUCUCAUGUUUGGCUUCAAGGUAAGAUCCCUGGGGCAUUGUGUCUGUGUGCCCAAACCAUCGUUAAAACCCUCAGCUCACUUCCUAAUUCAGCUCUAUGGGUUUACUUGCAGCCAUGAAGCCUCUGUUCUCUUCACAGUUGCUUCC